CCGUCCCCGGCGGGGAAUUGAAAAUAUUCCCCAUCCCCGUCCCCACGAGGGAAUUAGGCGGGGACAGAGAUUCCUCAUUCCCCGUCAACUUUGAGGGUGUGUUUGAUUG